rnacentral:rRNA from 1 species
CUAACAGGAUUCCCCAGUUACGCGGCGAGCGAAGCGGGAUGAGCUCAAAUUUGUAAUCUGGCGUCCUCUGGGCGUCCGAGUUGUAAUCUAUAGAAGUGUUUUCCGUGCCGGACCGUGUCCAAGUCCCUUGGAACAGGGUAUCAAAGAGGGUGACAAUCCCGUGCUUGACACGACGACCGGUGCUCUGUGAUACACUCUCUACGAGUCGAGUUGUUUGGGAAUGCAGCUCAAAAUGGGUGGUAAAUUCCAUCUAAAGCUAAAUAUUGGCGAGAGACCGAUAGCGAACAAGUACCGUGAGGGAAAGAUGAAAAGCACUUUGGAAAGAGAGUUAAACAGUAUGUGAAAUUGUUGAAAGGGAAACGAUUGAAGUCAGUCGUGUCGGGAGGAUUCAGCCGGCCCUGCCGGUGUACUUCCUCCCGACGGGUCAACAUCAGUUUUGUCCGGCGGAUAAGGGCGGCGGGAAGGUAGCACCCUCGGGUGUGUUAUAGCCCGCUGUCGCAUACGUCGGUCGAGACUGAGGAAUGCAGCUCGCCUCUGAUGGCCGGGGUUCGCCCACGUCCGAGCUUAGGAUGUUGACAUAAUGGCUUUAAACGACCCGUCUUGAAACACGGACCAAGGAGUCUAACAUAUCUGCGAGUGUUUGGGUGUCAAACCCGGGCGCGUAAUGAAAGUGAACGUAGGAGGGAUCCGCAAGGAGCACCUUUGACCGAUCUGGAUCUUCUGUGAUGGAUUUGAGUAAGAGCAUAUAUGCUGGGACCCGAAAGAUGGUGAACUAUGCCUGAAUAGGGCGAAGCCAGGGGAAACUCUGGUGGAGGCUCGUAGCGAUUCUGACGUGCAAAUCGAUCGUCAAAUUUGGGUAUAGGGGCGAAAGACUAAUCGAACCAUCUAGUAGCUGGUCCUGCCA